CAAAGAGUGCUGUGAAGCCGAGUUUAGAGGAGUCGAAGCAGCGUUGGCCUGGGACGCCGGCGUUUCAGGGCGCGUUGCUUGCAGCUGCGACGCGGCGUGCAUCGCAGGCG
rnacentral:pre_miRNA from 1 species